CUCGCGCGCAGCGUUGGGCGCGCUGCCGGCGGCGGUUGGCGCCUCGCGCUGAGGGAGGCGCGCGCCGGCCGCUGCCCCCCUGAGAAGCCCUGAAGCGCAAGCCGGACCAGGGAAAAGCCUUCGAACUGACCAGCAAGUGGGACGCCAGCAACCACUUUCUCGCCGGGGGCAGCUUCACCCGCUUCGCCGACUGGCGGUUCAUCCACCACGCCCGGCUCAACUGCGUCCCGCUCAACGGAGCCGUCCGCCACGGGAACCGAGACAAGCGUUGCAGGAAGUGCGGCUACUCCAACGAGACCUUGACCCAUGUCCUGUGCAGCUGCAAGCCCCACUCCAGAGCCUGGCAGCUGCGCCACAACGCCAUCCAGAACCGCCUGGUGAAAGCCAUCUCACCGAGCCUGGGGGAGGUCGCCGUGAACUGCGCCAUCUCCGGUACCGACAGCCCGCUGCGACCCGACGUGGUUGUCACCAACGAAACCCAGAAAAAGAUCAUCCUCGUCGACAUCACAGUCCCUUUCGAGAACAGGACCCCGGCCUUCUGAGAAGCUCGAGCUCGGAAACUGGAAAAAUACGCCCCUUUGGCCAACACCCUGAGAGCGAAGGGCUACGAGGUGCAGCUGGACGCCCUGAUCGUCGGAGCCCUGGGCGCUUGGGACCCCUGCAACGAGCAUGUGCUGCGGACCUGCGGGAUUGGUAGAUGCUAUGCACGGCUCAUGCGGCGCCUCAUGGUCUCGGACACCAUCCGAUGGUCCAGGGACAUCUAUAUCGAGCACAUCACCGGCCACCGACAGUACCAGGAGGAGUGAGCCGGUACGACAUUGUGCACACACUGUGGGAAAGAGACUGAGAGACCUUCCCCAUCGGACCGUAUGAACUGGAAUCGUAAACCCACUGAACAUUAAACCCCACCAAAUGAGGGUAGACCCAUCCCCACCUCCGUAUUCACUCACUAUACCCAGCAUACUGAACAUAGCCGUUGUGUGGAUAACUUACCCCAUAUCUCGAUGUCUGUACUCUGACGGGUUAAACUUUUCCCCCAGUCGGGGAGAUUGCAGAUUAUUAUGUGAUCCUUGCUCCACCAGCUCCUAAAUCGAAUUUUGCACCCCUUGAUAAUCUGUACCUUAUCCCCUGACAACCAGAAACUUCUAUGCUUGAACUCUGUACUGUUCCUUAUUUCAACAUUAUCUUAAUAAAAUUAUUGCAAACAAGCAAUGCCUGGGUGUACUGAAAACUGCUGGAACCCUCUGGGAACACUGCCUCCUCUCAGUGCAAAGGCCACUGACCUUCUAUGCAGCUUCGUCAUUUAAAAUGCAAAGAAACAAAAAACGUACAAGUGCUCAAAACCCUGAGAGAGCUGCAGUUAUUUUAACUGGUUGGUUUCAGAGUAGCCGUGUUGGUCUGUAUUCGCAAAAAGAAAAGGAGGACUUGUGGCACCUUUCUUUUAACGGGUUGGAUGUUUGUGUCAAAAAGUUUUAGGGUAACAUUGUAAAGCAAUCACUUGUCUCAUUAGCCUAUGUGUAGCUGUGACAUUGCUUGCAUUUAUUGCAGUUGUAGACUGCCGUUAUUCCUUUGAUUAUCAAAUAGUAAAAAGUACAAGGAUAAAAGGGCUGCUUGCCUGGCAGAAUCUCUUUAGGGCAAAGGCUUUACCAAUCCAUGUGUUUUUGGAACGUUUUCAAAUACCUCAUUAUUUUGAAGUAAAUAACCAUUUUAUUAUACUAACAGUGUUACUUUAAUGUUCUUAACUGAAGCAUGACAAAAGACAAGGUAUCACGCUGGUUUAGUACAGAGCAGAGUCUAACAGUUAGGCAUUGUAAAAUUUAACAGUAUAAAUGUAAUUAAAAAUGGAAUUUUUGUUUUAGUAA